rnacentral:rRNA from 1 species
UAUGGAGAGUUUGAUCCUGGCUCAGGACGAACGCUGGCGGCGUGCCUAAUACAUGCAAGUCGAGCGGACGGAUGGGAGCUUGCUCCCUGAAGUCAGCGGCGGACGGGUGAGUAACACGUGGGCAACCUGCCUGUAAGACUGGGAUAACUUCGGGAAACCGGAGCUAAUACCGGAUAAUGCACAGCCUCUCAUGAGGCUAUGCUGAAAGAUGGUUUCGGCUAUCACUUACAGAUGGGCCCGCGGCGCAUUAGCUAGUUGGUGAGGUAACGGCUCACCAAGGCAACGAUGCGUAGCCGACCUGAGAGGGUGAUCGGCCACACUGGGACUGAGACACGGCCCAGAC